UGGGAUUAGAUACCCCACUAUGCCCAGCCUCAAACUAUGACUCAAUACAAAACACUUCCGCCCGGGAACUACGAGCUCCAGCUUAAAACCCAAAGGACUUGGCGGUGCCCCACCCACCUAGAGGAGCCUGUUCUAUAAUCGAUAACCCCCGCUUAACCUCACCACUUCUUGCCAAUACCGCCUAUAUACCACCGUCGCCAGCCCACCCCGUGAGGGAAUAAGUAGGCACAAUGAUCACCACCAAAACGUCAGGUCAAGGUGUAGCGUAUGAAGUGGAAAGAAAUGGGCUACAUUCUCUAAUCUAGAGCACACGAAAAAUCAUAAGAAAUUAGAUUGGAAGGAGGAUUUAGUAGUAAAAAGAAACAAUAGUGUUCUUUUUAAAUUGGCCCUGGGGCGCGCACACACCG
rnacentral:rRNA from 1 species